rnacentral:rRNA from 1 species
CACGUAGGGUGCAAGCGUUGUCCGGAAUUAUUGGGCGUAAAGAGCUCGUAGGCGGUCUGUUGCGUCCGCUGUGAAAACUCGGGGCUUAACCCCGAGCCUGCAGUGGAUACGGGCAGACUAGAGGUAGGUAGGGGAGAAUGGAAUUCCCGGUGUAGCGGUGAAAUGCGUAGAUAUCGGAAGGAACGCCGGUGGCGAAAGCGACGUGCUGGACCUCUUCUGACGCUGAGGCGCGAAAGCUAGGGGAGCAAACGGG